rnacentral:rRNA from 1 species
UAAGCGGAGGAAAAGAAACUANCNNGGAUUCCCCUAGUAACUGCGAGUGAAGCGGGAAAAGCUCAAAUUUGGAAUCUGGUGGUCUUUGGCCAUCCGAGUUGUAAUUUAGAGAAGCGUCUUCCGCGCUGGACCGUGCACAAGUCUCCUGGAAUGGAGCGUCAUAGAGGGUGAGAAUCCCGUCUUUGGCAUGGAAUCNCAGGGCUUCUGUGAUGCGCUCUCGACGAGUCGAGUUGUUUGGGAAUGCAGCUCAAAAUGGGUGGUGAACUCCAUCUAAAGCUAAAUAUUGGUGAGAGACCGAUAGCGAACAAGUACCGUGAGGGAAAGAUGAAAAGCACUUUGGAAAGAGAGUGAAACAGUACGUGAAAUUGUUGAAAGGGAAACGCUUGAAGUCAGUCGCGUCGACCGAGACUCAGCCUUGCCUCGGCUUGGUGUACUUCUCGGCUUGACGGGUCAGCAUCGAUUUCAAUCCUCGGAUAAUGGCAAGGGAAAGGUAGCACCUUUUUAGGUGUGUUAUAGUCCUCUGUCGCAUGCGAGGGUCGGGAUCGAGGAACUCAGCACGCACCUCAGGGUGUCGGGGCCUUGGCCCACGUUUACGUGCUUAGGAUGCUGGCGUAAUGGCUUUAAACGACC